rnacentral:rRNA from 1 species
AUUCUGGUUGAUCCCGCCGGAGGUUACUGCUAUCGAGAUUCGACUAAGCCAUGCGAGUCGAAUGUUCUUCGUGAACAUGGCGGACUGCUCAGUAACACGUGGACAACCUACCCUUGGGUCUGGCAUAAUCCUGGGAAACUGGGUAUAAUUCCAGAUAGGUCACAGAUGCUGGAAUGCACUGUGGCCGAAAGCUCCGGCGCCCAAGGAUGGGUCUGCGGCCUAUCAGGGUUGUAGUGGGUGUAACGGACCUACUAGCCUACGACGGGUACGGGUUGUGAGAGCAAGAGCCCGGAGAUGGAUUCUGAGACACGAAUCCAGGCCCUACGGGGUGCAGCAGGCGCGAAAACUUUACAAUGCGGGAAACCGUGAUAAGGGAAUCUCGAGUGCCAGCAUAUAAUGUUGGCUGUCCAGAUGCCUAAAAAGCAUCUGUUAGCAAGGGCCGGGCAAGACCGGUGCCAGCAGCCGCGGUAAA